GCCUCUUAAAUUGUCAUACUUGUUUAUAUUGUCACUUGUCUAUAUUUACCUUAUACCAGUGUAUAUCAAAAUGGCGACCGGCGGUAGGAGUGUUAUACAAGCCUCGGAUAUUAUAUAUGAUUUUUCUUGCUCUCUUUGCUCAGAAAACAACAAAAAUUCAGAAGCAAUAUACAGAUGUGUCGAGUGUAAAAACUUUCUUUGUGCAAAAUGUCGCGAUGGACAUAACCAGUUUGUCAAAGGUCAUAAUGUAGUUGAUGUCCGCGCGAAGAAUAUUGGAGGAAGUGUACUUCAAUUAAAAGGUUAUAGGUGCAAGAAACAUCCGGACAAGUUGAUUGAAAUGUACUGCAAGACACACGAUGAAAUCUACUGUCCUGUUUGUAUACUGCAACACAGAUCAUGUACAGGAGUGGAAUACAUUCCAACUGUUGCUAAAACACUCCUGAAGAGAAAAGACAAGGAAAGUGUUGAGUCAGAAUUGAAACAACAAAUUGAUGAUCUUCAAAAGCUAAAGCACGAUCGCAUCAAAUAUUUGAGUAUAUUAGCAGAAGACAAAGACAAAACAAUAGAAAACAUAAAGAGUUUUAAAGAAGAUUUGAUUAAAAAAGCUUAAGAAUUGGAAAAGCCUUUACUUCUAGAAGUUGAAAAGAUAUACAAGGCGACUACAAAUGAUGUUAACCUUGAUAUGGAGAAUAUUGAUCUACUAAUUGAUGAUGUGGAUAAAUAUUUUUCCAAGAUUGUUGCGGGCAAAUAUGAUGAUGUCAAGGAUGAAGUUGUAACUUUUAGAUUGUCGGAACAUCAAGUUAUUGCAGCUAAUAAACAAAUACUUGACCUUGCGUGGAAAAAAGAAGAAAGGGUUGAUUUUCAAUGUAGCACUUCCUUUGAGAAAUUGUUAGGCGAAAACCGUCUUGGAAAAUUGAACAUUUCUAGAAGAAGCCGAAAUACUGUCCACUUUUACAAUGCUGAUGUAAAGUAUGCAAAAUAUGUCAAAAAGAAGAUAGAGUGCCUACAGUCUCUUCUUACUGACGUUGGGAUACAUUCAAAAGUAA